rnacentral:lncRNA from 1 species
AACCCUUGAACUUAAAAAAAAAAAAAAAAAAAAGUCAUCUCUGAACCACAGGAGUUGCAAGAAGGUCAAAUGCAAAGGGAAAGAUGUCAAUAGUGCUUUUAGACAAUUUUCUUGGGAAAAAAACAUUUUGGAGAAACAUUUUCCAAAGGAAAAAAAAUCAUUCUUGAUCAUCUAUCUGCUCUAAGAAUUAGAGCAGAGUUACAAUCCUUUAGUAAAUGGAAAUGAACUUAGCUUAUAUUUGAUUUCUAUCAUUUUGGAUUUAUUUUUCAAAAUGAAGUUCUACUCAAACGUUUUUCCUAUCAUGCGUCUGCCUAGCUAGCUAGCUAGCUAGCUAUCAUCUAUCUCUAUCUUCCAGUUUUUUUUCUUGUUUUUAAAAUAUGAUAUUUGUAGGCCUCCACGUCAGGUAACUUGACUUCAUAUGCUCCUGUUCUGGUACCUGUUACCUGUAGGAAAUGGAGCCCUUCUGUUCUUUUUUCCCUGGGCUUGUCCAUCACAUCCAUGUCACAGGGAGAGUCAUUUCAUGCCCCUGGGCUUUAUCCCAAGAGUUGGCAUCUGGAUACCACUGAGUUCUGGAUUCUUCUGAAUGAAGGAAGAGCCCUAUCUCUCAUCUUCCUCAUCUCUUCCGUGAGAGUCAGGACAGGCAGCACGAGCUGAUGUAACAAACAACCCCCAAAUCUCAGCGGCUACACAGUGUCAGCUAGCAAGCUCUUCUCCAGGCAGUCACUCAUGGACCCAGGAUCCCUCCAUCCUGUGGCUCUUCCCUCCUUUUGGCCCUUGGAGUCCUUUCCAUUCAGCCACUGGCUGAAGGAGAAGGAACACAGGAGAUGAUCUAUGGGCCAGGCCCAGAUGUAGUGCACAUGGCUCCCAUCCAAUUUCCAGUGACCAGAACGCAACUCCACACCUGUCAGAAGCCUGGGGUAUAUAGAGUGAAGCUGUGUCCCCUGGCAGAAGAGUGGAACUUCAAAACUGGUAAGCAUUAGCAAUCUUGCCACAUUUACUACUUCUUCCUCCUCUUUUUGAUAUUUCCUACAUGUUCUUGUUUGUCUCUGCUAAACUUAGCUGUGUGCCUAGCUAAAGCAGCAUGGUCACCUUGAUGUAACAGAUAGUCUUAACCUCUUCUUAAGCCUCCUGGCAUCAGUUUGCCAACUUGCUGAUCCUUACUGCAGAAAAGCUGAAAUGUCAGAGAUGUUCUUUUAAGUGAGUGUGCUUACUUACUCUUGUGCUCUAUGUGACUGUAUGUAUGUGUGCAAAAUAUUUAUCCAACCCGGGCAAGAUAUAAACAUGGCUAAUUGCAGACACAGUCUAGUUUGAGAAUCCAUCUAUCUAAACAGCCAUCCAUCAGCCAUCCAUCUCUCCAUCCAUCCAUCAUCCAUCUAUCCACCCAUCCAUCCAUCCAUCCAUCCAUCCAUCCAUCCAUCCAUCCAUCCAUCCAUUUAUCCAUCCAUUUAUCCAUUUGUUCAAACAAUAAUUAAUAACCCCACUGUGCUGGACAGAAAGGGGAAAAAAGUCUAAGGCAUGCUGUCUGCCAUUGGGAAGUUUAGAAUCCAGUUGGGGAAAUGAGAACUAAAUACACAUGAAGCCAGCAAAAAUGCCAAGUCCACACACAUAGAGACAAGUAGGGAUCAUGAAGGAGCAGAGGCAGUGCGGGCAGGCUGUACAUGUACCCCAUCUCCCUAAUGCACUGAUUCAUUUUUUAGGCAAUGGCUUUCUUCCCCACCCGCUCCAUGACUUUUCCUGUCUUUAACCUCCAGUCCUUCAAAACUGGUCUUUUUCACUUUUCCCCUUCCAUCUCCUUUCUCUUGUCUUCUAGUCUCUGUUAUUUUCCCCUACUCCUCUCUCUGUGUCUCUCUCUACAUUCUUCCCUUUAGAAAGAGCACCUUGAGUUCAUGGUGGCCUCAGGGCCUUUGCACUUUCCAUUCCCCCUCUGAGGAAUGCCCUUCCUCAGGCUCUACUUAGAGCCCCUUUUCACCAUUCAGACUCACCUCUGAAGGAGCUUCCUUGACGCCCCUCACCACCCCAUCUAUAGCAGCUCCAUCCUGGUUAUUCCCUAUCCUAUCAUCCCACUGUAUUUGAGUAGUAUCCAUAACUCUCUGAAAUUAUCUUCUUUACCCACCACCCCCAAUCCCAAUUGGAAAUUCUGCAAGAAUGGAGACCAAGGUUUUUUUUUUUAAUUAAAGUACAGCUGAUUUAUAAGUUGUGCUAAUUUCUGCUGUAUAGCAAAGUGACUUUGUUAUACCCAUAUAUUUUUUAUAUUCCUUUCCAUCAUGGUCUAUCCCAAGAGACUGGGUAUAAUUCCCUGUAUCCUGAGUUCCCAGGACCUCAUUGCUUAUCCAUUCUAAAUGGAAUAGUUUGCAUCUAUUAACCCCAAACUCCCAGUCCUUCCCAUAUCCUCCUCCCUCCCCCUUGGUAACCACAAGUCUGUUCUCUAUGUCUAUGAGUCUGUAUUUAUUUUGUACAUAGGUCCAUUUUUGCCAUAUUUUAUCACAUAUAAGUGAUAUCAUACAAUAUUUGUCUUUCUCUUUCUGACUUUUUCACAUAGUAUGAGAAUCUCUAGUUUCAUCCAUGUUGCCGCAAAUGGAAUUAUUUCUUUCUUUUUUAUGGCUGAGCACUAUUCCACUGUGUAUAUAUACCACAUUUUCUUUAUCCAUUCCUCUGUCAAUGGACAUUUGGAUUGUUUCCAAGUCUUGCUAUUGUGAAUAGUGCUGCUAUGAACAAUUGUUUUGAAUUGUUUUGUCUGCAUACAUGUCUAGGAGUCGGAUUGCUGGACCAUAUGGUGGCUCUAUUUUUUGUUGUUGUUGUUUUCUGAGGAACUUCCAUACUGUUUUCCAUAGUGGUUGUGCUAACUUACAUACCUACCAUCAGCAUAGGAGGGUUCCAGAAUGGGAACCAAGUUUGACUUAUCCACAGCUGUAUCCCCCAUGCAGUAGGUACUCAGUUAAUAACCACUGAUGGAAGGGGUGGUGACAAGAAGCCCUCUCCCUUUCCCUCAGAAUCUCAUGAUGGCAUGGGGAGCAUGGCUGAGCCUUCCCUCUGCCCAUAGCCAUGCCCUCCUGGGAAUCUUGUACCCAGGUUCUGCCCCCGCCUCGCCGGAUCCCCUGGCAUCACGCCCAGAACCCAGAGCCUUUCCUUUGCUUCCUGCUUGAUGCCCUUGGUCUCCACUUUUCAGCUGAAAACCACACCACCAGGAAAUCUGCUCAGACUUGUAUCUUCCUUGGAGAGUGAAUAGAAAUGAUUCCUGAUGGAUGACAUGGGGAAAGAUAACUUUACAAUGAAGAAUCGGGGUGGACACCACCUCAGCCAAGGGACACGCCGUCAGCCCCGUCAGGAACGGGGACAGGCUGAUCUGACAUCUCUCCUGCUGUCGGUGCCACAAGGUCAACAGCCUCAAAUUCCUGCGGAAGUGUUUAUCC